UUUUUUCCAGGAUAAAUAAAGAUUCUGAUUUGGAUUUCGUGUAUUGUAUAUGUGGUGCCACCGCAACGGAGCCGCUCCGUCGGGGCCGUACCCACCGCCGUGACGCCGCCACCAAGGAGCGACGGCACCGACGCUACUCGCCCCUCACUGCCCCCCACAUGAACGCACGCAUACCCCACAUAGAGCCCGAGGGGAAGUCACCUGGCCGGCAGGUUUUCGUCCAGAAGCCCCUAAUGGGAUCAAGCUUCAUGGUUUCCUACGGCCAGGGAAUUGGACGACCUACCCCCGAGGUUGACGUGCACCGCGGCGCCGUGACUUUGGAUUGUAAUUGCAUGGUCACGGCAGGAGCUGUAGAGCCACCGCGGGUAGAAACACGCACACGCAACACGGGUCAGUAGGCUGGUAGAGGGAGGAGCAGAAAGCGGACGUCGAGGGGACCACUGCGGUGACGUCACCAGAGCUAGGAUCCGACUAUCAAAAGAGCGGGAAAAUCCGGGCCCCUGAUUGGACGGGAGACGAAGGGAGCGAAACAGCGGGGCGCCUUUGUUGUGGGUACGAUAAAAGGAGGGUGAUUUAGGCAGUGAGGCAGUCGUGCUCUUCAAGGGAUCGAGGUCAGCCGGGUGUUGGAGCAAGCCGUUCGAGUCGUCCGUGUGACGAGUUUCAACGCAGCCAGGCCCAAUUCCCCACGGAGACGACGCACAGGCGCGCCCUCCCACGACUUCUUGCGCAUGGAGUAGGAUCAGAGGUAAGUGCGGGAGAGGUGUACUUGGGCUAAAUAACAACGGGAGAAUAAGGGAGCACCCAGCCGGAUAGGUUACGAGGGAUAGGUUAGGAUUAAGUCCCGGUUAACCGAGGGAUAGACUAGCGUCUGCUGACCCACAUUGGCACUCUGAGCUACGUUGGAUUUGUUGCAGAGAAUAAAUCGUCAGGAGAGUUUAAACCGUGUCGUGUGGUCUCUGUGAGCACGGAAAGGAGGGUGGAGUGUCGUGGGUCGGGUCGCCGGGGCGCACGGUAAUUACAUCCAACCGUUUGGUAGAGCGCCUGGUGUUCGCGUACACGCGCGGCUGUUUAAACGGCCUUUAAAUCGGGGCGGAGUUACCUCCUCCAAUCGGCGGCGCGCGCACGGUGGACGCCCCUGCCCUCUGACCCCCGACCCCGAGUCCCGUGCGUGGGCGCUCGGUGCGGCCGCGGAGCUGCGCGUCGGCGCGCUGUAUCCCUUUAUUUACGCACGAGACGGGGUUUCACUCCACGGGCGCGCUCACCGCAGCACGUCCGCCCCUGAGCCCGCGUAGCGCGUCGUAAGCGUAAUACGCUACCAACGCAGUUACGUUUAUAAAGCUCCAUUGUGACAUCGAGGAGACUGGCGUCGCUGCGGGUCUGCGCUCUGAUUGCACUGCGCUUUGAAACCGUUUGUGGACGCUGCACGUGGGAAGAGGGACCACACGCUGGGGUCUCAACUGAAGGUAUUCGUUUGUUAUACAAAACAGGUUGGCCCCAAAUUCAAGUCUUUUCGCGAAUGGCCUUUUCCGUCAAUUCUACCUUUUUCC